GUAGGAGUGAGCCUGCUCGCGAUGGCAAUCUGUCAGUUGACAACUCUGGUGACUGACACACCGCAAUCGCGAGCAGGCUCACUCCUAC
rnacentral:misc_RNA from 1 species